ensembl:rRNA 5S_rRNA 5S ribosomal RNA
UGCCACAGCCAUAUCACCCUGCAGCCCAAGACUGGUUGCCCACUGAAGCUAAGCAGGGUUGAGCCCGGUCAGUACCUGGAUGGGAGACCUCCUAGGAAAAGUAGGUUGCUGUUGGAA